UAUCUCACUGUAAAGCAGAGAAAAGCAGAGUGAUGGCAUGGUCAUUGAAAGUCAAGCCAGACAAGUCAAUUCACUGUUAAGUUAAUAUUUUGACUGGUGAAGCUCUGGUGUCGAGGCUUGGAGCUAUGAGGUAAAGCCGCUUGCUGCACAGUCAGCCCGCUACAGUUGUUGCAGUGCUAAAUCAAUCUGCGCACACACACACACACACACACACACACACACACACGGCUUGAAAAUAUGCUGAGUUUGGACAUAGAAAUAAACAAGUGCAGUCGGGAUUCUUUGUUGUUGUACACUCGUCUGUUAGCGACCACAUAGACACACACACCUUGCAUAAUUUUCAAGGGAUUUUUUGCAUAUUCAUAUUGAUAAGUUCAACUAAAAUAAAAUGAAUUUCAUGCGAAAUAUGCUAAAUGUCACCGAGGCCUUACCAACAUACUGUAUGUAAGAAUUUGACAUUCGUCAGGUACUCCUAAACAUCGUUGAUAACACUGUAUCUUGAAAAUGUUUCAUGCUCUAUCCCUUUACCUCCAACUGAGAGGUAGACUACGAUGAUGACCACACCCAGGACGAAGGAGACGAUGCUGAGCAGACGAGCCAGGCGUCCCAGCCUCCGGGCCCCGUCCACAUCACCCGCCUGGAGACUGUUUCUGGACUAGAGGCACACAAAAGCACCAGAAAAACUGACCUUCACAUUGAAAUCAGUCCAGAGGUUGUUGCAGGCAACCAAAAAAGUUGAGAUCUCAUCCCGUCAAACCUUGAUCAAGUUUAACAAGAUGGAGGACUUUCAAACUCAGAGGGAGGAGGGACACACUGACAUAAAGGGCAAGUAAAGUGCUAACGGGAUGUGAUAUCACUUGCCUUCUACGGCUUUUAUAGGAGCUUCAUACGGGAUGUUUUAUUUUGUCAACUUGCACUGGCACCUUUUUAUCCAUUUCAUGAUUGUGCCAAAAUGAAAUGCAAAAUGAGUUGCAUACUAAAUCAAAGCUGCACGUUUUCUUUUUCAUUUCAAAAUCCUGAAAAUACUCAGCUCUGCUUAAUGUGAAGAAUUGUCAAAAACAUAAACCUGAAACCAGCCAGGCCACCAUCUUUACUGCAGACCUCUCACCACUGCAGAGAGUGACAAGGGGACAGUGUCAGUUUUCAGUUUUGGCACCAGAGAGCACCCACCCUCAACAUGGACCACUCUGGGCUGAUGUGAACACUCCUCAUUAGUUGCAUUGGAUAUAAUGUUAUAGACCAGAUGAGGAUUUAAAAAAAAAAUCCACCUUGAUAUUCAUCACAUACAUUCAUCAAUUUUCUUCCGUGAAAUAAGCAACGUUUGGACGUAUUUUGGGAUGUUUUGGUGGAAUUGCUUAGAAACAGGUUUCAUAACCAUCAAAAUAUUUAACUGGCCUCAGAGGCUGCAGUUGCAGACACGGGUGUCAAUUUAAGUUAAUACAAUGAAGGGCAAGUCGCAUUUCUGAGAGUCUCCAACUGUUGAGUCAAAUAAAGAAACUGCUUUGAAAAUUCCUGAACCGUUGAGCAUCAUUUAUCCGACACCAGAACUGAAUAUUUGCUGGCCCCAGUUUCUUAAACUGAAUAUCACCUAAAAUACCCUUGAAUUGUGGGUUGUUGUCCUGGCAAGUUCAAUAAUUUGAGGAUACAA